UUCCCACCUUCCCUAUCCUAACGGAAACUGCAGGUAGAUGAACACUAGCUGUCAUCUGCCACCUCAACGACCGACCCUCGUCCACUUCUACCACCGCCGCGAUUCGAGUCGGUCGACGCACCUUACGCUCCCGUCACUCAAUCAGCGAUAGAAGCACACUUCGCCGCGUACUACAACACACGUAGCUCUACGCCGCGCACCGGUGCAUCAGCACAUCAACCUGGAGAAGAACGGGUGGAAAAAUCGAAGAGGUCAAACGCAUUUGCGCAGCCGGACAACCGUUCCUGCCAGGUCAGUUUCUUCCUUCAAACUUCCCCCUUGCUCCUCCAUUUCAUGGUCCUUCGUAAACCGGAUAUUCCCUAUUCCAGUCCAUCCCGGUUUAUUAUUUACAAACAUUUGUCUAAACUUCAGCACGUAACUGAAGUCUUCUAGUCAGCUGUUUUGUGUGUGUCAUCGUGACGUCACCUAGUUUUUUCCCUUUGUCUAUGGUCAAUCGGUAAGAAUCGGUUAGUCGAGUAGUGUCUAUCACUACUCAACUUCAAUCAGUAUUCCGAGGAUAGCACAGAGUAGAAGUUUGACGUCUGACACAUUACUUUUUUAAUUCAACUGGGACUGUUUAGGUUAUAUUUUUAUUGUCGUAAAUCAAAUAAGAUAUAAUGAUGAAAUCUGAAAUUAAACAUGUUAAGGGUGCCUCAGCCGACCCUAUUAAAAUAUAGCUUAGUGGCUCUUUGGGGGGCGGUUUAUGUUGGGGCCAUAGGCAUAGGGUCAAGGAACUUCGUGGGUACACACACAAACAGCUGACAGACAGGUACACAGAUGUUUGUAACUCCUUCCCACCUUCCCUAUCCUAACGGAAACUGCAGGUAGAUGAACACUAGCUGUCAUCUGCCACCUCAACGACCGACCCUCGUCCACUUCUACCACCGCCGCGAUUCGAGUCGGUCGACGCACCUUACGCUCCCGUCACUCAAUCAGCGAUAGAAGCACACUUCGCCGCGUACUACAACACACGUAGCUCUACGCCGCGCACCGGUGCAUCAGCACAUCAACCUGGAGAAGAACGGGUGGAAAAAUCGAAGAGGUCAAACGCAUUUGCGCAGCC